GGGGAAACCCUGAUGCAGCAACGCCGCGUGAAGGAUGAAGGUUUUCGGAUUGUAAACUUCUUUAGUCGGGGACGAAGAAAUGACGGUACCCGAAGAAUAAGCCACGGCUAACUACGUGCCAGCAGCCGCGGUAAUACGUAGGUGGCAAGCGUUGUCCGGAAUUACUGGGUGUAAAGGGCGUGUAGGCGGGUUAUUAAGUCAGAUGUGAAAUUCCAGGGCUCAACCCUGGCGCUGCAUCUGAAACUGGUAAUCUUGAGUGCUGGAGAGGAAAGCGGAAUUCCUAGUGUAGCGGUGAAAUGCGUAGAUAUUAGGAGGAACACCAGUGGCGAAGGCGGCUUUCUGGACAGUAACUGACGCUGAGGCGCGAAAGCGUGGGGAGCAAACAGGAUUAGAUACCCUGGUAGUCCACGCCGUAAACGAUGGAUACUAGGUGUAGGAGGUAUCGACCCCUUCUGUGCCGGAGUUAACACAAUAAGUAUCCCACCUGGGGAGUACGG
rnacentral:rRNA from 1 species